ensembl:snoRNA SNORA71 Small nucleolar RNA SNORA71
CUCUGCAUUUAUAAGUGAUCAGGGGGAACGCAUGCCCUGGUCAUUGGUAGUACAGGCAGAGGAAAUGUGGAAAGAAUCGUCCACACCCACGCCUUCCAGUGCUGGGGGCUUUCCCAUA